rnacentral:rRNA from 1 species
UGGGGAAUCUUGGACAAUGGGGGCAACCCUGAUCCAGCCAUGCCGCGUGAGUGAUGAAGGCCUUAGGGUCGUAAAGCUCUUUCGCCUGUGAAGAUAAUGACGGUAGCAGGUAAAGAAACCCCGGCUAACUCCGUGCCAGCAGCCGCGGUAAUACGGAGGGGGUUAGCGUUGUUCGGAAUUACUGGGCGUAAAGCGCACGUAGGCGGACCAGAAAGUUGGGGGUGAAAUCCCGGGGGCUCAACCCCGGAACUGCCUCCAAAACUAUUGGUCUAGAGUUCGAGAGAGGUGAGUGGAAUUCCAAGUGUAGAGGUGAAAUUCGUAGAUAUUAGGUGGAACACCAGUGGCGAAGGCGCCUAACUGGUCCGGUACUGACGCUGAGGAACGAAAGCGUGGGGAAGCAAAC